rnacentral:lncRNA from 1 species
GUCCAUCCCAUGUCCAUCCCAUGUCCAUCCCGUGUCCAUCCCGUGUCCAUGUGUCCAUCCCAUGUCCGUGUGUCCAUCCCGUGUCCAUCCCAUGUCCGUGUGUCCAUCCCGUGUCCAUCCCAUGUCCGUGUGUCCAUCCCGUGUCCAUCCCGUGUCCGUCCCGUGUCCGUGUGUCCGUCUCACAGCACGAUCCACGUGUAGCGCUCGUUGUCCGCCAGGACCUUCAGGGAGCAGCCUGGGGGGGGGAUGAAGCAGUUUUUGGGGGGAAAGACCCCCAAAAUCAACCCCCCAGACCCCCCGCAGG